UUUCAAAUGGCAACGGCUAACGUUGAGUACCCUCGAUCUCUGGCCCACUGUCCCGAUACGAUUAUUCGGGGUCAGCUGUUUGUAAGUCCCGUAUUCAACUUGUGCCGCACAGGGCAGGUUGAGGGCCAGACACUGCGCUAUCCCGCAGGGCGACCGAUACACGGGUGUUCGUGAUCGUAUAUCCCCCCAAGGAGCGUCUGCGGGGUUGAUCCCGGGCAGUG
rnacentral:ncRNA from 1 species